rnacentral:rRNA from 1 species
UACGUAGGGGGCUAGCGUUGUCCGGAAUCAUUGGGCGUAAAGCGCGCGUAGGCGGCCCGGUAAGUCCGCUCUGAAAGUCCAGGGCUCAACCCUGGAAAGCGGGUGGAUACUGCCGGGCUAGAAUCCGGAAGAGGCGAGUGGAACUCCUGGUGUAGCGGUGAAAUGCGCAGAUAUCAGGAAGAACACCAAUGGCGAAGGCAGCUCUCUGGGACGGUACUGACGCUGAGACGCGAAAGCGUGGGGAGCGAACAGG